UACGGGGGGGGCAAGCGUUGUUCGGAAUUACUGGGCGGAAAGGGUUUGUAGGGGGCUUGUUAAGUCAGACGUGAAAUCCCUCAGCUUAACUGGGGAACUGCGUCUGAGACUGGUGAGCUUGAGUGCAGGAGAGGAACGCGGAAUUCCAGGUGUAGCGGUGAAAUGCGUAGAUAUCUGGAGGAACACCGGUGGCGAAGGCGGCGUUCUGGACUGCAACUGACACUGAUGAACGAAAGCCAGGGGAGCAAACGGG
rnacentral:rRNA from 1 species